rnacentral:rRNA from 1 species
UCGAGAAUUUUUCACAAUGGGCGAAAGCCUGAUGGAGCGACGCCGCGUGGGGGAUGAAUGGCUUCGGCCCGUAAACCCCUGUCAUUUGCGAACAAAUCCUGCGAACGAACACUUCGUUGGUUGAUUGUAGCAGAAGAGGAAGGGACGGCUAACUCUGUGCCAGCAGCCGCGGUAAUACAGAGGUCCCGAGCGUUGUUCGGAUUCACUGGGCGUAAAGGGUGCGUAGGCGGAUGGUUAAGUCUGCUGUGAAAGCUCCGAGCUUAACUCGGAAAAUGCAGUGGAAACUAAUCGUCUAGAGGUGUGGAGGGGGGACUGGAAUUCUCGGUGUAGCAGUGAAAUGCGUAGAGAUCGAGAGGAACACCAGUGGCGAAGGCGAGUCCCUGGACACCACCUGACGCUGAGGCACGAAAGCUAGGGGAGCAAACA